rnacentral:rRNA from 2 species
GACUCUCGGCAACGGAUAUCUCGGCUCUCGCAUCGAUGAAGAACGUAGCGAAAUGCGAUACUUGGUGUGAAUUGCAGAAUCCCGCGAACCAUCGAGUCUUUGAACGCAAGUUGCGCCCGAAGCCAUCCGGCCGAGGGCACGCCUGCCUGGGCGCCACGCAUCG